ACGUAGGUGACCAGCGUUGUCCGGAUUUACUGGGCGUAAGGAGCGCGCAGGCGGCCGUUCAAGUCGAGUGUGAAAGCCCCGGGCUUAACCUGGGAACUGCAUUGGAUACUGCCGGGCUAGAGUGUGGGAGAGGGUAGUGGAAUUUCCGGUGUAGCAGUGAAAUGCGUAGAGAUCGGAAGGAACACCAGUGGCGAAGGCGGCUACCUGGACCAACACUGACGCUGAGGUGCGAAAGCGUGGGGAGCAAACA
rnacentral:rRNA from 1 species